rnacentral:piRNA from 1 species
UCCAGUGGCUCAGAAAGGAAACAGGAUC